UCUCAGGCUUGCAAGGCAAGCACUUUCCUAGCAGCCGUCUCCCCAGCCCUGAAACUCAUUUCUGAUUCCAGGGCAUUCUGUGUCUCUUCAAGGGAAGAGGUGGAAGAUGGUGAGAUCACUCUGAGUUACCUGCCCCAGCCAGGGGACGGCAGGGAGAAAGCGGCUGUGGGUGGCUGGACUUGUGCCACAUCAUUAUAGGAGCCCUCCCCGCUCCACCCCUCCAUAUUCCAUGUGACCUUCAAGUUCCUGGUGCCUUGCCCUCCCCGCCAUGAUGGACUGUACCCCAAAUGGUUCCACCUUCUUACAACACCUGGAGACUGAAUUGCCAGAGGAGUUUGGGAGUCCCCAUCCAUUCAGACCAAAGCAAGGGAGAAUGUCUGCUUCUGUCGGGUUUGUCUGCAGAUGUGAAAAGAGUGGCUGCAUUUAUCCUGCUCGUGUGGAG